rnacentral:rRNA from 1 species
UACGUAGGGGGCAAGCGUUGUCCGGAAUCAUUGGGCGUAAAGAGCGUGUAGGCGGCCCGGUAAGUCCGCUGUGAAAGUCCAGGGCUCAACCCUGGGAUGCCGGUGGAUACUGUCGGGCUCGAGUCCGGAAGAGGAGUGUGGAAUUCCUGGUGUAGCGGUGAAAUGCGCAGAUAUCAGGAGGAACACCAAUGGCGAAGGCAGGUCUCUGGGCUGACACUGACGCUCAUGCACGAAAGCGUGGGGAGCAAACAGG